rnacentral:lncRNA from 1 species
CUCCCGCGGCGGGCCGGGUCUCCAGGGAGGACCUGAGUUUUUCUUCACCCAUGGUCAGGGAGGCGCCAUCGCCCUGGCUUUGGGGCUGGGGCCUCCGGGGAGGUUCCGGUAGGGGCGUUGGAGAGGCCGCUCUUUUUGCAAGGCCCGAGAUGGCGGGCCCUGCGCAGGCCGCCCUAUUCCGCGCCCUCAGGGCGUCAGUAUCCGCCUGAGGCCGGAUACCCACUCUGGGCUCGGAUACCCGCGCUGGGCCCGGAGCAUCCUCGGCGCUGCCCUCCCAGAGCCCCGCAGAGGCUGAGGUGGCGCGGGGGCGGCCCCGGCUCCGCGAGAAGAGGCGGCAGCGAGGGCUGGAGGACCCGGGCUACGGGGCUCCGGGGCGUCUGGCCUGGGUGGGACUGAGCCCAUCCAGGGACUGGGACUCCGGGGUUCUGGUGUAGGUGGAUCCCGGGCAGGCUCAGGACCAAGACCCUCUCCUUCCACCAAGGAGCGCCCAGAGGCCGGCGGGAGCUCCAGGUUCACCUCCUCCUCCUCCAGGGACGACUUGAGAAGGCAUCCUGACCCUAUGCAGAAAUGCAGAAACACUUCCAUGAGCUAAACAACCUAUGUGAAGGCCUGAAAGCCAAAGCAAGAUCCUCUUAUUACAAAGCUGUCCAACAAAAAGUUUUCCAAGUAACACUGGAGGUCCAUCACUCACUCUUCCUGGUCUGGAAAUGCCAGAAAUGUCCUCCUUGGUCCUUCUGAGAGUCAAGAUCUUUUCAAAGUCACCUCAGGAGCCACAGAACCACUCCAUCCUACCUGAAAUUGCAGGAUGACUCUUCUUUUGACCAGAGUCUCAAAAAUAUAUUCGUUGAUAAUUUUGAUUCCUGGGAGCCGCCAUUGCUUGCAAAAGAUGUGCCAGGGACUAGACAUUUUCUGUCUCCUCACUUGUCCGGGGAAGACUGAAGUUUUACUGAAACACAGAGAUGGGAAUCUGACCCUCUGAGCAGCCUCAGGAUUUUCUAAGUCUUCCAAGCAGAGUGGAAAUACUGGAAAUCCCACUUCCAGCUGGAUGUCUGGAUGAACUCCUGAAAGCUGCUGAGUGUCCUGCAGCAGGUGAGCUGUGGCCAGAGCCCAAGGAUGAAGGGGACUCCCUCACUCUGUGACUGUGAAGAGGAAGCCUGAGGUGUAGCAGGCCCAGGCCCCAGAAGUAUGGAAAAAAUGAGGCCAUUUCCAAUCCAGAGGAAGACCUUCUAGAAGAAGUGAUGGGUGGGAGAGUGCUGACAUACUAUGCAAAGCUACUAUUUGGAGUUGGACACGAGUGCAUGUGACCUUGUGCCACAGCGGGAAUGUGAGCUGGAUGACAAAUGGAGAUUUGGACUUGUGAUAAUUGGCCUCUGUGUCAUUGUGUGGAAGACUGACUGGUCCCUUUAUUUCCUGUAGCUUGACUACCACACAAAUUAAUCCACUCAAAUGUUGGCAAGUGGAGCAGAGUCCCAGGACAGGUACAGAAACACCCCCAGUUCAAGGAUCUUCACACCUGGAUUUAGGCCUACACCUGCAACUACCCCAGGCCAGUUAUCCAGGCAGUGACUUUCUGUACAGCUACAGUCACCUCUGGACACCUGCGGAGACUUUAAAAAUUUCCAGAAGGUCAGGAAUUUUUGGAGACCUUUCUUAUGGCUACGUUGCCUGCAAAGGUGAAUCAAUAAGCUUCUGAACUGACUUAGAAAAUGUUGCAGAGACUCUUGUGAACAGAUAGACCCUCUCCUGCCACUCCAGAUAGACGUAUCCGGGUCACACACACCUGAUUUAACAACAUCUCAUUAUCUCAGGCACCAAUUUGAUCUUCUACUACUUUGCAGACAUCUCUUCUGCAAACACCAGACAAACUGAGACAAUGAACUUCCGCAGGACCCAAAGCACCUCUUACUGCAGGAAAGAAGAUCCAGUGAGAUAGUUAGUCCACAAAUGGAAUGUCAAUCCAUAAACACACUUAAGUAACAGAAUAAAUUUAGUAUGAGCGUUUUUAUGUGGGAGCUCUUGAAAUGGUUGCUGCUCAUAUGUCAGAGACAUAUGCAGUUUAAGAAAGGUAGCAGUUCCAAUCCUGGUUUGGCCCAACAGUCACUGCAUUUUUGGUGGGGAAAAGGGAUGUGGGAGGAGAUGGUACAUCUUCAUCUUUUUCUCUGGGUUUUCUGUCAGAAAGGGAUGUUGCUUACUCCAGUGGCAAAAAAUGCCAGUGUCUUCUGCCAGAGUGGGUUACUGAGGGCCAUGGUGGUUCCACCUUGUGGCUGAUACAGAUAGUCCCUUUCUGCUUUUGUUUCUAGCCAAAAAAGAUGUUUCUCGCAUCUCAGGUAUGCAGACUUCAGCAGCUGUUUUUUCUAUAUGGCUAUUUUUUUUUUCUUUCACUCUCUCUUUCUCUCUUUUUUUUUUGUUGGCUUCACUGUGUUGCCAUAGUUUCUUAAAUGGUCCCUUGAACCCUCCCAGAGCUAUUUUGGUUUGUACAUAACUAUCUAUAUAUUUUUUUCUUGGGGGGAGUGUGUAGAGCUAAAGGCUGGUAUAUCCUGCUCCUGCUCCCCGAAAGUGACGUUAUUCCCCCAAGCUAAUAUUUCAGGCUUUCAAUUUAUUCAUGCUUUCAUCUGUUUAAACAUAAGUAGAAAUUACUUUUUCUCUCCACAUUUAGAUUUGAUCUAUCUACUUUAAUUGCUAAUAGUGUCUUAGUCAUAGAAUAGAUUAGUUAGAAAAAAGUGUUUUUGACAUUAUAAAUGAUUCUUUCAAUUUGUGUCUAAAAGUGGAAAAUACUAGAAAGCUUAACAUUUAUUAUUGUAUUCAGACCAGUAUUUCCUCCAGAUGACCUUUAUUACAACAAAGAUAAUUUAAUGAAGAUCUCUCUAAUGGUAAAGCUGAUGGCUUUGUGCUAUUACAAUAUCCUUCAAAUAAAGUGACGAUCUGGUGGAAAGAACAACUAAAGCAAGGAUUAGGAAGAAAACAGUUAAUACCUUCAUUUUGGUCUCACUCUGCAUUAAGAGUUUUCAUUGUGUUAAGGAUUUAUUAUACAUUAAGUAAUUUAAUGUUCAUUUAAUAAUAAAUGGAUCCUAUUAAAUAUGAUUUUUAAAAUUAUAAUCAC